rfam:Glycine soja cultivar W05 scaffold428_20, whole genome shotgun sequence.
UCCUUAUUGGAUGAUGACUGUCACGUGUCAUGUCAUGUUCUGAUUGGUCAAUAAAAACAACAAGGCUGUCAUCAUCCAAUAAAAACUUGAAAUGUGACAGUCAAGUCAA